AAAUUGAAGAGUUUGAUCAUGGCUCAGAUUGAACGCUGGCGGCAGGCCUAACACAUGCAAGUCGAACGGUAACAGGAAGCAGCUUGCUGCUUCGCUGACGAGUGGCGGACGGGUGAGUAAUGUCUGGGAAACUGCCUGAUGGAGGGGGAUAACUACUGGAAACGGUAGCUAAUACCGCAUAACGUCGCAAGACCAAAGAGGGGGACCUUCGGGCCUCUUGCCAUCGGAUGUGCCCAGAUGGGAUUAGCUUGUUGGUGGGGUAACGGCUCACCAAGGCGACGAUCCCUAGCUGGUCUGAGAGGAUGACCAGCCACACUGGAACUGAGACACGGUCCAGACUCCUACGGGAGGCAGCAGUGGGGAAUAUUGCACAAUGGGCGCAAGCCUGAUGCAGCCAUGCCGCGUGUAUGAAGAAGGCCUUCGGGUUGUAAAGUACUUUCAGCGGGGAGGAAGGGAGUAAAGUUAAUACCUUUGCUCAUUGACGUUACCCGCAGAAGAAGCACCGGCUAACUCCGUGCCAGCAGCCGCGGUAAUACGGAGGGUGCAAGCGUUAAUCGGAAUUACUGGGCGUAAAGCGCACGCAGGCGGUUUGUUAAGUCAGAUGUGAAAUCCCCG
rnacentral:rRNA from 1 species